rnacentral:tRNA from 4 species
GGGCCGCUGGUCUAGUGGUAUGAUUCUCGCUUAGGGUGCGAGAGGUCCCGGGUUCGAUCCCCGGGUGGCCCC